UUUGAGAAGGAAGAUGAGGAAUUGGAAGGUAGGGACCAAGGGAGCAGAGAGGUGGAUGUUCAACAUUUAGAUGCGUUAGACGUUGAUAUAUGUGAGAAAUCACUAGAUUCCAUUCCAGUAUAUAAGAGGAGAACUAAGAGGGUGGUGAAGCCGUCUAUCUACAAGCGUUCUCCAUUCACUUCCAUCUCUGCCAUUCAAACAACUCCAAGCAAUGCUGCUGACACUAAGAAACUGAGAGAAUUGUGUACUUCUCUAAUACCCUUCUAGGCUAAGAUUGAUCCAUUUAGGAUAAUAUCGGAGGACGAACUACAUGAAUUGGAUAGUUGGGCCAACACAAACAAAGAUUCGACGAAAUUUGUUUGGUUCAGGACCAUAUGGGAGAAAAAUGCAUGGAUUGAUAGUGUGGUAAGUAAUUCACACACAUACAUCUAUGGUUAUUCAACACUUAUAUUAGACAAGAGCUUAAUUCGUCAUCUUUAUUGAUUAGGCUAUUGACAAGUACGUCGAUUUCUUGGAGAGAAGGCACAGUUCAUUUCCUACUUUAUAUACAAAGGACUGCAAGUUCUGUCCGACAUCUUUUCUGCGACGAAGCACGUUCAUUAUUACAAGUAGAGAAAUUCAUUGUUCAUGGCAUUGUAAAACCUCGUGAAGGGCAGAAGCUCAUGUGACAGUAUGAACAGGUAUACGUACCAGUCAACUACGCCAACAGUCAUUGGUCCCUGAUGGUCAUCCACCCUCGAGACCGAGAAAUUGUUAUACUCAACAGUUUAUA